rnacentral:tRNA from 1 species
GGCGCAUUAGCUCAGAGUGAUAGAGCACCAGGAUUUGACCCUGGAUGUCACGGGUUCGAGACCCGUAUGCGCUGCCA